AUUGAACGCUGGCGGCAGGCCUAACACAUGCAAGUCGAACGAGUGGCGGACGGGUGAGUAAUGUCUGGGAAACUGCCUGAUGGAGGGGGAUAACUACUGGAAACGGUAGCUAAUACCGCAUACAAUCAGAUGGGCCCAGAUGGGAUUAGCUAGUUGGUGGGGUAACGGCUCACCAAGGCGACGCUCCCUAGCUGGUCUGAGCGGAUGAACAGCCACAGUGGAACGGAGACCCGGUGCAGACUCCUACGCGAGGCAGCAGUGGGGAAUAUUGCACAAUGGGCGCAAGCCUGAUUCAGCCAUGCCGCGUGUAUGAAGAAGGCAUUCGGGUUGUAAAGUACUUUCAGCGGGGAGGCGUUACCCGCAGAAGAAGCACCGGCUAACUCCGUGCCAGCCGCCGAGGUAAUAC
rnacentral:rRNA from 1 species